GCAGUCGCAACCAUUUAAUUUGAAAAAGGAAUGCUCCCGUUUUUCGCCGUUAAAUGUUGCAGCCUAAUUUUGGAUCGAGAAUUAAGUGCGACGAAGAUGGCCGUUAAUAAUAGUUCUACUACUUUAAGAACACGAUUCAGAUUUGGAUAACGACUUCGAAGGCAUUCGCAGGAGACCAAACAGAGAAAGAGAGGGAGACACAAAACCACCUGUCUCGGUGUCACACAUGAGGAGUUGAGGAGGAGAUGAAGUCAGUGAAUAUGACCUGGCCUGGGGGAGUUUCCAGAAGAAGGCCCAGAAUCGCUGGAUGCCAGGAGUGGAGAUCCUUCGUUGCUGCCCUACAUGAUAGGAGGCAUCGGGCAGUAGAUGCUGUAAUUUGAAACGGAAGGUGUCCUGCCAAUAAAUUUUCAUCCCACCUGAACUGCCUUGCCUGCCUGCACCCAGUCAUCUGUUCCUGAGCAUUUUCAUUUUCCUCUAUUUUUCAUCAUCGUUUGUUUCGGCCUGUAUGAAGUGAAUUUCACAUUGAUUGGUGGAGCUGCUAAGUUGGCAUUACAGGGCCACGCCGGGGUAUGAUCCUUUGGGUUGAACAUCAUGACUGCUAGUUGGUCGGCAAAGGUGAUGGGAUCGAUCAAUGUCACAUGGAGUAAGAUCGAUACCAAUCUGCUUUGCUACAUUUCGAACAAUCUCAUACGGAUACGGAUAUUAUUGCGACAGGAGUACUGCUCGAUGUGGUCAAGCCUAUUUGACAAAGCAUUAUGGUGUUAGUCAUGUUAUCAGAAACCGAUUUUUCAAAAUCACGGAGUUGCUUCAAUUUAGUAUCGAUAGAUAUUUCAAGAACGUGUAGAUUAGUGAGCUUUUCAUCAAGAAUUUCACGCAAUUUAUUUUCGCGCUUAUCCAUGUCAUCAUUGAGUUUUUGUCUCUCGCGUUCCAUUGCCACGGCCACCGCUCUUUGAACGACUGUAUCAAUAUGAUCUAGGUAUGCUGGGCUUUGUUUAGAUCCAGUUAAUGAUGAAGCAGAGGAUUGUGUACAUGCGUUAGCCGAGUGCAAGCGGCCUCUUGAUCUGGUGGAUAUCUUAGACAUGUUAGAGAUUACGUAAUGAUAUAAUUGAAAAGUGGGAUGGGCUGUGCAUCUGCCAACUCACCAGUCAACCAAUUGGAGACGGCCUUCCAAAGUGACACAGCACGAAAAUAUCAAUAUGGGACUGGUCUAGUCAACACAUAGAUCCUGAAAAAACCAUGGAGACCGCAGACGCAAAAUGACUUCCAUACAUAAAGAUAUGAUGCACAAUCUCCAGUGGGUUCAAAACACUGAACACAUGCUAUGCUGAUACACAGACUAUCAUAAGAACUUUAUCAAGCAAAGGAAAUCUGGUAUGAAAUCUCUCAGCUCACAUAAAAAGCCUACGUAGCUACAUGUAGGGAAGAAAAUGCGUAAUUGCUGAGAAAUGAGCAAAAUAAGCAUGUAAUUCUAUCAAAUGUCAGGUAUUUUUCGAAUCGAUUAUAAUACACUGUCCCACAUAUGCUUUUCUGUGUUUACAGCGAUCAUCAGAAUUAUCGAUUUUAAGUUAAAAAAUUCAUGAUUUUACAAAGAUACAAGUUUACAUUAAUGUACCAGAUGUAGAUUAUGUACAAUAUAUUGACAAUUAACUUUGAUUUUAUAGAUUUUCUCAAGAAAUAAUUGUUUGCUGCAACUACUGUCUUUUCCUUCUAAGUGAUAGUGUAAUACAACAGUUCCACAAACUAUUUUCAUCAGACUUAUUGAUGCAUGAUUCUUUCACCCAAAUGCAAGCUUCCAUAAAUCCUGAAAACUUUGCAACUCAGGUAUUUUUUUUUUUA